GACGAACGCUGGCGGCGUGCUUAACACAUGCAAGUCGAACGGUGACCUCGAGAGCUUGCUCUCGGGCGAUCAGUGGCGAACGGGUGAGUAACACGUGAGUAACCUGCCCCAGACUCUGGAAUAACCCCGGGAAACCGGAGCUAAUACCGGAUACGAGACGGAGUCGCAUGGCUACCGUCUGGAAAGUUUUUCGGUCUGGGAUGGACUCGCGGCCUAUCAGCUAGUUGGUGAGGUAACGGCUCACCAAGGCGACGGCGGGUAGCCGGCCUGAGGGGGCGACCGGCCACACUGGGACUGAGACACGGCCCAGACUCCUACGGGAGGCAGCAGUGGGGAAUAUUGCACAAUGGGCGAAAGCCUGAUGCAGCGACGCCGCGUGAGGGAUGACGGCCUUCGGGUUGUAAACCUCUUUCAGCAGGGAAGAAGCGAAAGUGACGGUACCUGCAGAAGAAGCACCGGCUAACUGCGUGCCAGCAGCCGCCGUAAGAC
rnacentral:rRNA from 1 species